rnacentral:rRNA from 1 species
AGAGUUUGAUCCUGGCUCAGGAUGAACGCUGGCGGCGUGCUUAACACAUGCAAGUCGAACGAAGAAGGUUAGAAUGAGAGCUUCGGCGGAUUUUUAUCUAUCUUAGUGGCGGACGGGUGAGUAACGUGUGGGCAACCUGCCCUGUACUGGGGAAUAACAGUUGGAAACGACUGCUAAUACCGCAUGUGGUCCUCGGAAGGCAUCUUCUGAGGAAGAAAGGAUUUAUUCGGUACAGGAUGGGCCCGCAUCUGAUUAGCUAGUUGGUGAGAUAACAGCCCACCAAGGCGACGAUCAGUAGCCGACCUGAGAGGGUGAUCGGCCACAUUGGGACUGAGACACGGCCCAAACUCCUACGGGAGGCAGCAGUGGGGAAUAUUGCACAAUGGGCGAAAGCCUGAUGCAGCAACGCCGCGUGAAGGAUGAAGGGUUUCGGCUCGUAAACUUCUAUCAGCAGGGAAGAAAUAAAUGACGGUACCUGACUAAGAAGCCCCGGCUAACUACGUGCCAGCAGCCGCGGUAAUACGUAGGGGGCAAGCGUUAUCCGGAAUUACUGGGUGUAAAGGGAGCGUAGGCGGCAUGGUAAGCCAGAUGUGAAAGCCUUGGGCUUAACCCGAGGAUUGCAUUUGGAACUAUCAAGCUAGAGUACAGGAGAGGAAAGCGGAAUUCCUAGUGUAGCGGUGAAAUGCGUAGAUAUUAGGAAGAACACCAGUGGCGAAGGCGGCUUUCUGGACUGAAACUGACGCUGAGGCUCGAAAGCGUGGGGAGCAAACAGGAUUAGAUACCCUGGUAGUCCACGCCGUAAACGAUGAGUGCUAGGUGUCGGGGAGGCAAAUCCUCGGUGCCGCAGCAAACGCAAUAAGCACUCCACCUGGGGAGUACGA